AACCAACCUGAUUGUGCAUACAUUGUUUUGAACAAAUGGAGAUGCAGUCAAGGAUGAAGGUAAAUGGAAGUUGUGAAAGAUACCAUGAGUGCAUUGAAGAAGCCGCUACGUGAUAAUUUCAGGUUAUGACACUACUAUUUACAUAAAUUUGAUAUGGAAGCAAGCAGCAAACAAAGCCGUGUUUUUAUAAACACCCAACUGGAUGGAGAAAAAGCGUCAAUGACACUUGUAUGCUACACCCUGUAUAUGCUCUCUAGACGCACCCUUACCCAGUUAAAAACCAAACUUUCACAAAAGGCUGAUUAUUGAAAAAAUAGGUUUACAAAAUUACUACAUGACAACUAUUUCCACUACAUUUGAACACCUUACGUACCCGAUUACAGUCUUGUUUAUCAGUCUUAGACAAUAAAGCCGUGUUUACCCGACAAUAA